AUAAUUUAUAAAUAUUUUUAAAUAUAAUUAAAUUAUUUAUUGAAUCUAUGUAUUAAUGUUUGAAAAUACGUCACAUCAGAUAAUAAAUAAAAAACAGUCAGAUAAGCGUAAUAUUGUUUGAUAUUAAUGCUGUUAAAUAAUGAGAAGAAGGAUUUUAAAUAAUGAUUAAUAAAUGUCCCUUUUAUCUUAAAUUACUGAACUCCACCAAUAACUAAUACCCUGAUACAAAGUUGUGUUUGAAACAUAGAUUCAGUGAGAAAAAAUUAUAUGAAAAUAUAAAAGUUAAACGAUUUAAUUAUUCAAAACUAUAAAAUAAUAUAUCUUUUUCAUUUUAGUUUUCCUUUUUCUAGCCAGAUCCUUUAUCCAAAGAAGCUGCCUCCCUGUGGUUGAAUACUCGAACGUGGAAUAUCAUAAAAACAGAAAAAAUAAGAAAAACAAGGGUAAAUUAUAAGAAUGGUCCCUGUAGUUUUGCAUAUUUUCAAUUCUGGUCUUUGUAUUUUUAAAUUAUGUGAUUUUGACUUUGUAUUUUACAUUUAUUGUCAAAUUAGUCCAAUUGAUAGUGAAAUUUAGAAUUUUGGAUGAAUUUUGAAUACAUGAACAACAUUUUUCUGGUGAUUUACAAUGGAAUUGGAUAUAUUACAGUAGGGUUUGAAUGAUUUAUCGUGAAAAUUGGGUGAAAAUGGGAGAAAAGUUCAAUUUUAUCUCUAAAAUACUGGUAUAUGUCAUAAAAGUAUAAACAAAUGUCCAAAAACAUAACGGCCGUUACUAAUUGGACUGAUUAUAACAAAAAAUAAAAAUAAAAACUUCUGAAUUUAAAAAUAUAAGGAUCAAAAUUUAGGACAAGUAAAAAUACAGGGACACUGUUUACAAUUUAUCCGAAAAACAAAAAAACCUGCCUCCAUCCACACACACACACACACUCUCCACUACCAAUAUAUACGUACCCACUUCUCCCUCUCUCCACCCAAUCUCACAACACCCAAAAAAUUGAGGUUUUGGCUGAUAUCUCCUCUCUCUCCGGGAGCCACCCUGACGCCGAUUCCUAGCUGAGGCGGCAGCGGAGAUCUAAGCUCUGUCAUAAGUAGAGAGAGCAAGGGGAUUUAUAGCUAUGAUUCUUUUGUUUCUGCUGCUUGAGGUCUUUGGGACUUUUGGAAACACUGGUGAUGCUGUGACCAGGAAGAGAGAGGUUGCUGCUUUUCUCGCUCAAACUUCACAUAAAACUACUGGUAAUUUCAAACAUGUUUUUUAUAUAACAAUUAUUAUGUACCAAAAAACAUUUUAAGGACAGCGACUAGUCGCGUCUAAGUGUCUUCCAUCGGUCUUAGGACCAAUUUUUGUUUUUAUAACUCAGUUUUGGUCGAGUCGGGUAAAGUUUCGUAUGGACAGACUCAACUCAAAAAUUAAUUGAUAGCACUUAAAAAGUUUCGAACUAAAGAAUUAAAAUGGAAUAGAUCUCCAAGUCUCAGGCUUAAAUCAUCAAUUUCACAGCUUGUUUUAUUAAGAUCCAGUUUUGUUUUCAGUGAACUUUUUUGGCAUUUAAUUAAAAAUUUAUACUUUUUCAGUUUCUUUUGACGAGAAGAGCUCGAAAAUAAAAAAUAAUCUAAUUUGAAAAAAAAUAUACUAAAUUCGAAAAAAAAUCAUUUUAGAUGGUUUUUCGGAUAAAAAUAAUUUCAUUCGUCUUGAGUAACCUUUUUUUCUAAAUUAGAUGACAAUUUUUAUGUAAUAAUUAUAAAUACAAUUUUAAUAAUUUAUUAAAAUUAUUGAGUUUACAAAAAAAGAAAUGUCUAGAAAUGUCUUUUUUCGUCAAUAAGUUUUUUUUUAAAUUAGAUAAUUAUUUUAUAUAUUUUUGAACUCUUCUCGUCAAGAAAAAAUAAAAAAUUUGUGGUAUUAGAGAGCUGCUUUUGUUCAGUGUAGUGACCCUAGUGGGCGAUGAUGGUGGUAUGGUGAUUUAUGCCGGAUGUCAAUGAAUUCAACGGCUGCUAUGGGCUGUGCUGUGAGUGACAAUCCAUUGGGAUGGGGUAGAGCUAGAAACAUCAAAUAAUAGAGAGAGAAGAGAACUCUAAAUUCCAUAACAUUUUGACAAUGUUAAUUUAUUAUCUGAUGUGAUAUAAUUUAUAAAUAUUUUUAGAUAUAAUUAAAUUAUUUAUUGAAUCUAUGUAUUAAUUUGAAAAUACGUCACAUCAGAUAAUAAAUAAAAAACAAUUAGAUAAGCGUAAUAUACAAUUAGAUAAGCGUAAUAUUGUUUGAUAUUAAUGUUGUUAAAUAAUGAGAAGAAGGAUUUUAAAUAAUGAUUAAUAAAUGUCCCCUUAUCCUUAAAUUACGACUCCAACAAUAACUAUACCUUGAGGCAAAACUGUAUUUUUUUUAUACUGCAAUCUCUAACUUAAUAUAUAAAUACAACUUAUGACAUAGUACGGAAGUUAAUAAAGAAGAGUAAAGGAAACACAUAAAUUAGAAAAACGUCCUAUUAAUCUAAGGAAGGAAUCUUCCUAAUUCCAACCGUAAGUAUAACACAACUUUCAAAGUACCCAUAAAAAAGCUCACACGUCGAUUUAUAGGAAGUAUUGGGAUCAUUUAACUAAAGAGCAAUUGGCAAAGCCUCAAAGCUAUGCAGAUUGCAUCCAUUAGUGUCGUCCCGGAGUUCCGAUGUUUGGAAUCAAUUCCUCUACACCUACCUUUCAAGUUAUCGAUAGAUCGAAAACAGAAAUAUAAAUGCGGGCUGAUAUCAAUAUUUACAGCAUGAAUUUUGUAAAAUCACCCAUUCUAGGUUAGGUGUAGUAGCAUGUGAUUUUAAAUGCAUUGAAUUUGAAAAAAUGACAGUAAAUCCAGGAACAGUCCCAAGGGGUCGCAGCCCCAAACUUUGACAAAUUUAUAAUAUUAAUCGCAUCUUAUUUCGAAUUCAAAAACUAUCUCUUACUAUUUACGGGUAAAAUCUAUUUGGGUUAAUCCAACGGCUGAGAUUUCAUCUAAAAUUAUUUUUUUCUCUCAAAACUAUAUUUCCAGUCUUUUUUCAAGAUGUUGAGCCCCACAUAAAUUCCAAUGGCAAAACUCUAAAAGUUAUGGCAUAUAUUUUAUCUAUUGAAUCAUUUUUUAGUAGAACCCACAUACAUAAAAAAAAUUUAUUUCUCCUUUAUUUCUCUCAAACUAGCAAUACUUUUUCAAAAUCAAUAUAUUUUCUAAUUUAUUUUUUAUUUUGUAGCAAUAUAUCUCUUCGUAUAUACAUCCAAUGUAUCUUUUAUCUGAUUUUUAUAUCUUAUCUGUUUUGUAAUUUGUAAAACUCUAACGAGUACGCCUAAGAGGUAAUUUUUUUUGAGCAGUGCCUAUAGGCAUGAGCAAUUACUAGUGCUCAAUAACGCAAUAUAAUUUUUGAUAUUUACAUGGUAAGUAUGCACAUCCCUAAUAAUUUAGUUUAAUGCCUCCAAAAUUUAAACAAAUAUUUAUCCUAGGCUCCGUUUGGAUAUGUAGAUUUCAAAUCAAGAAAUUUUAUAUUUUAUUUAAUAAAAAUAACUUACAUUAAGAUUUAGUAGUCGACGUAGAGAUUUCGAGCUUGAAUUUGAGAGUUUUAUUAUUAUGUAAUAUGAUGAAUUUAAAAUAACAAAUUAAUAAGAGAGAUUUAAAAUCUUUUAUACAAAUGCUUAAAAUACCCUUCCCAAAGAAAAAGAAAGAAAUAAAAGUGUAGUUGUAUGAGAAGGAAUAAUUCCGGUAAUGAGCAAAAAUAUUAAGGAUAUUAUUGUAAUCUUACAUAUAAAAAUAAAAAAUAUUUAAUAAAAAGUAUAGUGCAUAAAUCCCUAACCUAUUAAAAACUAAUAAUUCUUCUUAGGUAAGGACCUCUUGUACUGAAGAUUUGAAGCUUCUAGCUUGAUUUUUUCUCACAGCUUUGUGGUCAACUCUCACCAUUCCUCCUUUCGCCUCCCCAUACGUUUUCUUACAUUUUGGUCCGUAAUACAUGUGAAUACACAUUGAUGAAAGUCGUCAUUCACGUAGCCGCCCGAGUAACUAUUCUCAGUCUAUGAGUACAAUAUGUAUACACGGGUGUACUGUACGUAACAUUUUUACAACCUGACAUUUACAAUAACACUAAAUCAUAAAGAUUAAAGACAAAAAAUUCACACAACAAAACCCAGAAGAAUUCAGUGUACAGACUUUCUAAAAUUCUUUUGAUUUUCAGAAUUUAUUCAAAAAAAUAUGUUCAAACUCCAAAAACUUAUUAAAUAUCAUUGCAGUCUAUGUACCGGUUGAGGAGGAAUUUUGCGUAACCUUUGUGUGCAGUACGUCAAAGACGCCAAUACAGCCUCCCGAGAACGUACAAUAGAAUGAGUAUUGACUUGUCAGAUGUUCAGAUUUUACACAAUUUGGAUACAGGAUACAGCGUUACAAGUUCUUUCCAGCCAGCCGGUUUGGUACUGAGUUUAGCUCCUAUGGCGUCGAUCCGAAUAUAUUUUGCAAAUAUUUUGAUGAUACAUAUUUCUAUCUUAUUGCUCUUAAUGGUAGUAGUAAUUCAAGUAUGUUAGUUCAUCUCAAAAUUAUUCCAAGAGUCACAGCCAUUCUCACAAGGACACAAAAAGAAACACGAAAUAUUUGGGACUGCCAACAAGAAACCUUCAACACUGAAGGAUCAAAAAAUGGAAAACCGUUGUUCAGGUGUGUAUUAUUUUGUAAAUGCUCUUAGUAAUGGUUUACAACAAUUUUGUUAGGGCGUCUAAAAAAUGCUACCGUAAUAUAGUCCUUUCAUGGCCGCAUUAAUUAAAAAUACAAUAAGUGCAUUAAAACUUAGAUUUAUUACAAAAAUGUGCUACAAGCAAAAAUGUAUGUUCAUUUUGAAUAUUUACUAUGUCAAUGUGUGUAAAAAAUUGGGCUAGUUGACAAUAAUUGUUUUGACAUUGUGUUGCAAAAGCAUUUGUUUCAAUUUUGUAAAAACUAUUGCUAGCAACAAUUUUUGACUUUGAAAAUUGAUUCCAAGUUUUGAAAACAUAAUGUUAGCAACAUUUUCUGACUUGAAAUUUGGUUCCAAGUUGAAAAAUAUGUUAACACAAAUAAAGAGAACAAAUUUCUGACUUGAAAAUUUGGGUUCCAACUUUCUGACAAAUUGGAUAGGCACCUAUUUUCUGACUUUGCAAAAUUUGGUUCCAACUUCUGAAAAAAAUUGGAUAGCAACAAUUUACUGACUUUGAAAAAUGUGGUUAACAGAGCUGAGCGUGUUGAAAUUGGUAUAAUAAUUUCCUGACUUUGAUAUAAAUGUGGUUGCAUACUUUUGCCAAAAAUUGAAUAGCACCAUUUUUCUCAUUUUCGACUUUGAAUGUGGGUUGGAACUUUGAAAAUUUGGUACAGUAUAAUUUUCUUUCUGACUUUUGAAAAUGUGUGUGUGUGGCCAACUUUUGAAUUAGAGAAUCAAAAAAAAAAUAAAGAAUAGCAACCCAUUUCUGACUUGACAUGGUAUUUUCAAAUUUGAAAAUUGGCGUAAGAAAACUAGCAAAACUUCAAAUUCCAUCUUACCAACUCGGUUAUAGUUCUUCCUAGAAGCUAUAAAAUCAUAUCCUUUACGCUCUCAUUUUUUAUCUUGGAAUCUUAUGGAGAAUCAAAGAACUCAAAGCAUUCUUCAUUCUUCAUUUUCCAAAAUUCCCCUUUGAGCCUUCAAUUUAUUCAUACAAGAGUUCUCGUGAGAGAGACAUUGUAAAAGCUUCAUUUGUAUAUCCUUCUCAAAAGGAGAAUUGUUAUUGUGAGAGAAAUCUCAAAUCUAUUUCAGUCGAUUGUAUCUAGAGGGUUGUUUUGACCCUGUUUAGGUGUGAAGGAAAUUUUCCACCUUGUGAGAAGAGUGUGUACUCUUGCGUGUAAGGUUUGAACUCCACCUGCACAGGAGUUUGGCGGAUUAGUGUUGAUUGAAAUCUUCAAGUGUUGUGCUUUGGGAGUGACGUAUGUCAGGAAGACCGAACCACUAUAAAUUAUAGCCGAGUUUUGAUCUCUUUCCUUCUCGUUGUAUUAGUGUGCUCAUAUUUAUACGCUCGGUGCAUUAUACUGCUUUUUAUAUCAUUUGGAAACUCUUAAUUCAGUAUAAUUUAUUAAAAGAAAAGUUUUGCCAACAAACCCUAUUCCCCCCCCUCUAGGGUUAAUUUCUGGGUAACAAGUGGUAAUCAAGCAGGACUCUACAUUUUUCGGUAUCUAAAACGAUCUAGGAUUAAAAAGAUCUAUGGCCACAUAAUAGGAACACAUAUGGCCGAAUGCCAUUCCAUACAUAGACUCUGCUUUCCACUUAUUCGUCCGGAUAGUAAUUUAUAGAUUAUUGUGAAGGCUAGAAUUAAAAUUUUAUAUUCAGUGCCAAUGAUUAUGCAUGUUUGUCGAGCAUUAACAAAGCAUGGACCUAUUGCGUCCCACAAAAUAACUGAAAGUGGAGAGUGGUUACUAUAAACCUCAAAGAAUGGACUAUCGUAGAUACAAAAGCACAUGUAACAAAAUAAUGCUCAAGCCAACUUACACCACUUUUUAUAUUGUGCCUUACAGACGUAACGCAUUAAAUAAAUCUCCGGUGGUGAAACGGCUAAGGAAAUUGUUGGGAUAAGACACGUAAGAAUCCACCCAUGCGAACUGGACCAUCAAGUAAAAGGAAUCAAAAAUAAGUAUGUUAGGUUCAUUAAUACGAAUUUUUAAAAAUGAAUCAAGUGAUACUAAUGUAUCUGCAAUGUGUUCUACCUCGUUUUUUUAACCGAUAUGAUGUGUUCAUUAAUGGAGUGUAAGAGUCGCGCUGUAAAGUUUGUAUACAAUGUCGAAAUGGUGCGAGUAAUGCAUUGCUUAGGUGUCAUUAUCCACAAGAAGUUGGGAGACCAAACGUAUACCUGCCAUUGAAGAAUGCCAAAAGUAGCCCAUCACCAAAAAUGGGUCUUGAUGAAUUGGCUUGGAUCUCUCAUACACUGAAAUCACCUUGAGAGCAAUGAGGAAAAUGACGAAGGUAAAAAAAGAGAGAAAUUGCUUUCAAACCUCAUCAGCACAAACAAUGAUGAACCUCAACAUGAAUGAGGAAGUGAUGAAGAUAUGGCUCUCUUAAACGAAGAUUUACAGAUUUCAAAAGAGGUCAUUUCCUAGAAGACAAGGACGACCGAAACUUCGACAAAAAUGAAGACAAAAGAAGGACCCCCCAUCAUUUGCUUUGAAUGCAAAAAGCCCGGUCACAUGAAAGUUUGAUUGGCCAAAUCUCAAGAAAGAUCAAACGAGAUAGAGAAAUAUCAAAUUUGAAAAAUUCAAGAAGCUUUUCGGCUUGGGGAGAAAUUGACGUUGACACAUCCGAUGAUGAGUCCGGUGAUUCAAGAAGUGGCAAUUGUGUUCUUGUUCCUCAAGAAGAUAUAAAAAUGAGGUACAAUCUCGAAUCCAUUCCUUAAAUGAUUUACAAGAUGAUUAUGAUGAUUUAUAUUAGGGAAUCAUUGAAAUUAAUAACAAACAUUGCAUGCUUUAAAACAAUUGCCAUCACUUUCUAUUGAAAUAGAAACCUUUUGAAGAAGCUGGCUAAUGAGUGACAAGUAAAUAUUGAACUACUGAUACAAUUUUAGAUCUAACAAAAUGUCUUGGAAAAAUUUACAAAAGUCAAAAGAUUUUGGAUCUACUUCUUGGAUCACAAAGAUGUGUAUAUGAUCCGUGCGGGAUUGGACACAAUAUUCAACUAACAAAAUUAUAUAAAUAUCUUUGUGUGAAUCAACUUCUUUUUCGACCACAAAAAUUUCAUGCACAGAUUGCAAUCCUAAGGGCAUACUCAAAAACAUGCUAUGUGAAGAAUGUGUUAGGUAAAGGAUUAAAAAACAAUAUGGGGACCUAAGAAGAAAAAUGCUACUAACAUUCAAGGACCCAACCAGAUUUGGGUACCAAGACAAUGGUUGAUCUUGUAUAAGGUUGCUGAAUGAAUUCAAAGAAAGGAGGAGGGGGGGGGGGGGGGGUGGUACUUGUAGUGGAUGCUCAAGACAUUGACUCGGAGAAUAAAUCCACCUUUCGCAUACUAAUCCAAAGGAUGUGGAUUUGUGACCUUCGAGACAAUAGCAAGGAAAAAUCUCGUAUAGUUAAUGGGGUAGGAACCUUCUCCUUUAUAUAAAAUGUUUACUUGUUGAUGGAUUAAAGCAUAACUUUACUUAGUAUUAGUCAUAUGUGAUACGGAAAAUAAAGGCAUCUUUGACAAAUAUGUGCCCAUAGAAAAAUAUCAAAGAUGAUAAAACUUAUUUAAUUGUCAAAGAAUUGAAAUGUAAUUUUUUUUGUUAAAAAUUGAUGACGUUGAGCCAACAAAUGGACUUGCUUAUCAGCCAUGAAUGACAAACGGUUGGCUAUGGCCAUAAAGGCCUUGGGCAUUCUCUAUAGAUCUUAUUUCAAAACUUGCUAAAAGGAUUGGUAAUUGGGCUAACCAAAAAUUUCUUUUGAAAAGAUAGUUGUGUGGAGCAUGUCACCAAGGACAACAAACAAAGUGUCUUUUAAGUCAAAAAUAUCGUUUCUUCUCUCUCUUCUAACAUCUAAGGCCUCUACAACUUCUACACACAUGGACCUUAAUUGGUCCUUCAAGACAAUGAAGUUCGUGAGGAAAUUAUACAUUCUUGUGAUUUGUGAUGAUUUUUUCUCGAUUUACAUGGUAACAUUUUUAGCUCACAAAAAUUAAGCAUUUUCCUCAUUUCACAAAAACUUGCCGACGUCUCAAAUGAUAAAGAACUAAGACCUCAAAAUUUCUACAUUAGAACCGAUCAUGGGAAAGACUGAAAUUGAGUCUUUUUGCCAAAUUUUGUGAUAUCUCGGAUUGGACUAAUUUCUCGGCACCUAGGACCCCUCAACAAAAAGGCUUGUUGAAAGAAAAAAUAGAACUUUGGAAGAAAUGGCAAGAACAAUGCUUUGCGAAAACUCUCGUCCAAAAUAACUUUGGGCUUAAAAGCUGUGAACACGCAUGCUUUAAUUUAAUCGAGCCAUGAUUUAGGCCAAUCUUAAAAGACACCUAUGAGCCUUUGGAAAGAAGAAACCAAAUAUUGGGUUCUUUCAUUGCUUUGGAUGCAAUGCUUAUGUCCCUAAAUAUGGGAAGGACAACUAGGAAAAUUCGAUCAAUCGGAUGAAGCUUUUUCUAGGAUAUUCAAUUACAACACAGCUUUUUCGAGUUUUUAACAAACGAACUUUAGUAGUUGAAGAAUCCUGCAUGUUGGUAUUUGAUGAAUAUAAUGAUCCUUCUUUUCAAGUGCUUCAAGAAAGUUAGGAAUUGAAAAGCAUGGAAAAUAUUGAAAUCUCUCAAGAACGCAGAUACUCAAGGAGAAGCCACUGAAAAACAAAUUGCAACUAGAGGUAGUACUUACCUCAAAUUGAAAAUCACGUGGGAAACCUCAAAAGCAAAGAAGGUGGAAGCUCACAUCUCCCAAAGAAUGGAGAUAUGUUUUUCACAACCACCAACAAUCUCAUUAUUGGUGAUCCAUCAAAAGGGUAACUACUAGAACUCUAUAAAAUUUAUUGGGCAUCUUGCAUUCUAUUCUCAAUAGAACCUAAAAUUUUCAUGAAGCUGAAUUUGAUGAAUAUUGGCUUCUAGCUAUGCAAGAGAACUCAAUCCAUUCGAAAGAAAGCAAGUUUGGACUCUAGUACUAGGCAUCAAAUCAUCCUCAUAUUGGCACUAAAUGGUAUUUAGAAAUAAACUUGAUGAAUCCGGAAUCAUUGUUAGAAAUAAAGCUAGACUUUUGGCCCAAGGAUAUAGUUCAAGAAGAGGAAUAGAUUUUGAUGAUAAUUUGCUCUCCCGUAGCUAGAUUGGAAGCUAUUUCGAAUGUACAGCCUUUGCAUGCUAAUAUGGACUUCAAUUAUAUCAAAUGGAUGUAAAAAGUGCAAUUCUUAAAUGGAUUUAUUACCGAGGAAGUGUUGUGCCACCUCGCCGGGUUUGGAGAAUCAUGAAUUGCCCAAUCAUGUCUUUAACUUUCAAAGCACUCUAUGGACUUAAGCAAGCUCCAAGACGUGGUAUGAAAGACUUAGCAAAUAAUUUAAAUGAUACUAGUUUUUGGCAAGAGGGAAAAUAGAUAAUACACUUUUUAUAAAAAUUGAAGAAUAAGGACAUGCUCAUCGUCCAAGAUAUGUUGAAUGAUAUUAUAUUUGGUGCUACUAUGAGAAUAUUGCAAAGAAUUUGGCUAAAGAGCAUGCAAAGGAGAAUUCGAUGACAUAUUGGGGAGGCUAACUUUCUUCCUUGGACUAACAAAUCAAACAAUCAAGCGAAGGGACAAUUUAUAAUCAGCAAAUACACAAAGGAGCUUCCUCAAGCGUUUGGCAUGAUAGAAGCAAAACCGCUAGGCACCACCGAACCCCAUAUGGGCACAUCAAUAAGCCUUGACAAAGAUGAAAUGGUAAAAAUGUUGAUGAACAAGCCUCUAAUCGAGGUAUGAAUUGGCUCUUUUGCUCUAUUUAAAACAAAACGGAAGUAGGCCGGAUAUCAUGUUUUAGUGUAUGCCAUAUGUGCUAGAUUUCAAUCAUGUCCUAAGGAAUCAACUUUAAGUUUGCUGUGAAACGCUAUUUAGAUAGCUCAUAGAAACGUAUGACUUAGGAAUAUUCAUCCUAGGGUAGUUGCAUUUGAAUUAAAUGAUUCCUCCGAUGCCGACUAUACGCCGGAUUGUAGAUAGAUCGAAAGAGCACAAGUGGCACUUGCAUUCCUAGGACACUCUCUAGUGUCAUGGUCUAGCAAGAAACAAAAUUCCGUUGCUUUAUCAACCGCCGAGGCGGAAUAUGUGGCCGCGGAAGUUGUUGUGCCAUUCCUUAUUGGAGGAAACAACAAUGGAGGAGUAUGGUUUAAUUUGAUCAUAUUCCCAUCAAAUGUGAUAAUACACGUGCUAUAAAUUUUGUCUAAGAGCCCCAAUUAAUACAACACUCAAAGAACAAACCUAUUGAAAUUCGACAUCUCAUUUUUUAAAGAUCACGUCCCAAAGGGGGAUUUGACUUCAAUAUAUUCCUACCGACAAGCAUUGGCGGCUAUUUUUAACAAAACCCCUUGAUUGAAAAAAGAGAUUUUGCUAUAUUCCGAACUGAACUGUAAUGGUCUAAACCAAGUGAUAUUUUUGGAUCUUAAAAUAAAUUUAUAAGUAUAAGUUGAGUCAUAGUUGAGAAAGAAUAGUUCGGGACUGAAUGUAUUCAAUGCCUAAUCUCCGACAAACAAUUUUUUUCCUUUCUUUGAAUUGUUAUCUUGAUUUGAUAUGUGAUAAAUAAGAUUAUCAAAAAGCUGAGGUACUGAUAUUAUGAUAAGAACUAUGAGAUCUCUAUAUGCUUAUAUGCGAAAAUGUAAGUAUGUAAUGUCUGACAAUGAGAGUUGUUCUUUAUUUUGAUAAAACUAUCCCUUUUGAUAAUUUCAAAACUCCUCUAAAUGAAAGAAUUUUAAGAUUUGAGGUUUUAGUGCAAAAAUCUUUUGGUUUAUUCACCACUCAAAUUAUCUUUCGUUAAACAUCCUAUGUGUUUAAUUGGUAUCUAAUACUAGCAUGUGAGAUAACAAGAAAAUAUUCUUGGUCAAAAAUUUUUUAAAAAAACUCCUUCAUUAUGUUUUCAUAUGUGAUUGUUUGAUUAGUUGAAAUACAUGCAUAUCAUCAUACUUAUGCACCAACUUAGGGGAGCACUACAUAUUGGUACCACUUUGGUAGGGUAUCCUACAUUUACCUUCAUUGAAAUUAGACAUCAUAUCUUUAUUUCGUGAUCCUGUCAAAAAGAAGAUGUAGACCUAGAUUUUAUAAGUACUGGAUUUCAAUGGGUUGACAUCUUCAUAAAACCACUUCAAGAGAUCGUUCUGCAACCAUUCGAAGAGACCUUGGUAAAUGUGUAGACCACAAAUAUUAACAUAAUAUUUUAGGUUAUUUAUUUUAUAUUUUUUUAUAUAGAAUAAUUUACUAUUAUUCUGAAUCAAAUUACCUGUUUAAGUUUUCAAGAAAAUCUUAGCUUUUUCGGACUUCAACACGAACUCUCCUGGUUGCUCUUGUAAGACGGUUUUUAUCAUCUCUAGUUUUCUGAAUACUCUUUUUCCAUAUCAUUAGCAUAUGAUCGACAUUUCUCUUCACUCUUUAUUCCUCCUGCUGAAGACUUCUUUCCUUCGUUGCAAGUUUCAAACUUGAGAGUCCUUAGCUCUUGACUGCAUUUCCCUCGACUUGUAACGUCGAGCCAUAAUUUGCAACGAAGAUGCACCCUGGAUUACUGAGUGCCAUAGGAGUCCUUAAUGGCUUCAAUAUCAAUUCCAUAUUCCUCUAUAACUUUUCCAUCUUGUGGAGUACUGAUUCCUUUAGGCUAACUGAUGCAGCAAACUGCAUCAUCCGCAUCACAGAGCCAUUGUUAUGAUAGGUCUUUUUUGAGAUAAGGGUUAAUGAACGCCAGAUUCUGGUUGUACAUUAGGCAUAUCAUUCACGAUCAAAUUUCUUUUUGAGAAGAAGAAGAAGCCAUUUUUGAAAACUAAGAAAGAAACUGGUUCAGUAAAUGAAAUUGUUCUUCAAAAAGAACCGAAGGAGAAAGAAGAAGAGAACUAAUUUUUGGGAUCUAGGAAAGAGAUUUUUUCAGAC
rnacentral:lncRNA from 1 species